AGACAGGGGAUUGUGACCAGAUGCCCCCUGUCAGGGACUUCUAUGGAAGAAUGGCGAUGGGGUUGGGUCUUCCUUAGCCUUACCUCAGCACUCCCAGCACAUCUGAUGCCCUCUUGAAGAGCUCUCCUCUCUGUGGAUAGGAGGCACAGGGAUAACCUGCACGGACUCAGAACUUCAGCAUCAGGAACGAAAUCACUACAAUGCUCUAGCUGUGGUGUAAAGGAAAACAAAAUGAAAAUUUUGACUACUGUGAUGCCCAACGGCGUUUGCUGCUCUGCCUGGACCCAGCAUGCGGUGUUAGCCCGAACUCUGCACACAACAAAGUAUCAGCUUUCAUUCAUCUUCUAAUCCAAUCAGUAAAUAGUUGCGGAAACCCUUCAUGGCUGCCAGAUUCUGGACACACCAGGCACCGGAGUCGAGUCCUGUGGCCCAGAUCUCAGGCUGAGGAGGUACUUAAGCAUGAAGAUCUAUGGGGCCCGGCACUUGGUCAUCUUCAGCCAUUAUUGCACAGUCUACAAGAAUACAAAAUGGCCGGGUUUCUAUGGCACAGCUGCGACUUUGAUGGAUCGUGAGAAGACAUGGCCACCAUUUUUAAUUCUGGAAAUGUAAGCUUUUCUGGAGUAAAUUAACCUAAUCACACAGCACGAGUAAAUUAAUGCCAGUUCACUACCUAAUUGCAAAAAUAAUAUUAACCUGAAGAAUCUAAAUCUACUGGUGACACAUACUCAAUUUUUAUAGUGUGCCCCUGACAGUUUUUCUGGGUUAUAUGUGGUCCUCUGCAGCGGUG
rnacentral:lncRNA from 1 species